AGAGUUUGAUCCUGGCUCAGGAUGAACGCUAGCGGCAGGCCUAACACAUGCAAGUCGAGGGGUAACUAGAGUGAUAGCAAUAUUACUUUGGCUAGACCGGCGCACGGGUGCGUAACACGUAUGCAACCUACCUUAUACUGGGGAAUAACUUCGAGAAAUCGGCGCUAAUACCCCAUAACACUGCGAAGAGGCAUCUCUUUGCAUUUAAAGCUCCGGCGGUAUAAGAUGGGCAUGCGUCCAAUUAGCUAGUUGGUGAGGUAACGGCUCACCAAGGCUACGAUUGGUAGGGGUUCUGAGAGGAUGAUCCCCCACACUGGUACUGAGACACGGACCAGACUCCUACGGGAGGCAGCAGUGAGGAAUAUUGCGCAAUGGACGAAAGUCUGACGCAGCCAUGCCGCGUGCAGGAUGACGGCCCUAUGGGUUGUAAACUGCUUUUGUAUGGGAAUAAACCCUUCUACGUGUAGAAGGCUGAAGGUACCAUAAGAAUAAGCACCGGCUAACUCCGUGCCAGCAGCCGCGGUAAUACGGAGGGUGCAAGCGUUAUCCGGAUUUAUUGGGUUUAAAGGGUCCGUAGGCGGGCCGAUAAGUCAGUGGUGAAAGCCCAUAGCUCAACUAUGGAACUGCCAUUGAUACUGUCGGUCUUGAGUAUAUGUGAUGUUGGCGGAAUGUGUAGUGUAGCGGUGAAAUGCUUAGAUAUUACACAGAACACCGAUUGCGAAGGCAGCUGACAAAUAUAUAACUGACGCUGAGGGACGAAAGUGUGGGGAUCAAACAGGAUUAGAUACCCUGGUAGUCCACACCGUAAACGAUGAUUACUAGAUUUUGGCCUUAUGGUCAGAGUCCAAGCGAAAGUGUUAAGUAAUCCACCUGGGGAGUACGUCCGCAAGGAUGAAACUCAAAGGAAUUGACGGGGGCC
rnacentral:rRNA from 1 species